rnacentral:lncRNA from 1 species
UGGUAUGAGCGGUGGAAGAACAGUUUCGAACUAAAACAGAAGAAAGAAGAAAACCCAAAAAGCGUUCAUUGGUUGAUCAAAAUAUGUACUGCAAAGGGAAGGGAAGAAGUGUACAGAUCUCUGAGAGAGAGAGAGAGAGAGAGAGAAGAGGGGAGUAACUGCUGGUGCAACAAAAAACCCUAAUGGAUUCUACGUACAGAGAAAAGAUGGUGUGUUUUGACUGGGAAAUGUGGAGCAAAAGUGGGAACUUUCUCUGGGAGACAAAGUAGAGACAUG